rnacentral:lncRNA from 1 species
AAAGUACCACAAACAAUGGGUUUGAACAUCUCUAGGAAAGAAGACAACCCAGAACAAUCGUCCUCAUACACAUCCAUUGAAUUUAUUUAAGGUGGUAUUUGAUGCCUAAUAUACAUGUUUUUAUUUAGUAGUUUGCUUCAAGCAAUUAAUUGUUACAGGUUUGUCUCUGCCCCUACUCUGAAGCUGCUCAUACUUAGACAACAGAGUCCUAUCUGCUCGAUUUCUGGCAAAGAUUAGGGAAAUACCAGCCACAAGGAACAAGAUAGCUGCAAGUACCCAGCUAAACUGCAAGUUUGCC